rnacentral:rRNA from 1 species
UUAAAGGGAGCGUAGGCCGGAGAUUAAGCGUGUUGUGAAAUGUAGACGCUCAACGUCUGCACUACAGCGCGAACUGGUUUCCUUGAGUACGCACAAAGUGGGCGGAAUUCGUGGUGUAGCGGUGAAAUGCUUAGAUAUCACGAAGAACUCCGAUUGCGAAGGCAGCUCACUGGAGCGCAACUGACGCUGAAGCUCGAAAGUGCGGGUAUCGAACAGGAUUAGAUACCCUGGUAGUCCGCACGGUAAACGAUGGAUGCCCGCUGUUGGUCUGAAUAGGUCAGCGGCCAAGCGAAAGCAUUAAGCAUCCCACCUGGGGAGUACGCCGGCAACGGUGCAACUCAAAUGAAUUGACGG